CGUAAACGAUGAGUGCUAAGUGUUAGGGGGUUCCGCCCUUUAGUGCUGCAGCUAACGCAUUAAGCACUCCGCUGGGGAGUACGACCGCAAGGUUGAAACUCAAAGGAAUUGACGGGGGCCCGCACAAGCGGUGGAGCAUGUGGUUUAAUUCGAAGCAACGCGAAGAACCUUACCAGGUCUUGACAUCCUUUGACAACUCUAGAGAUAGAGCUUUCCCUUCGGGGACAAAGUGACAGGUGGUGCAUGGUUGUCGUCAGCUCGUGUCGUGAGAUGUUGGGUUAAGUCCCGCAACGAGCGCAACCCUUAUUGUUAGUUGCCAUCAUUCAGUUGGGCACUCUAGCGAAACUGCCGGUGACAAACCGGAGGAAGGUGGGGAUGACGUCAAAUCAUCAUGCCCCUUAUGACCUGGGCUACACACGUGCUACAAUGGACAGUACAAUGAGCAGCGACACGGCGACGUGAAGCGAAUCUCAUAAAGCUGUUCUCAGUUCGGAUUGUAGGCUGCAACUCGCCUACAUGAAGCCGGAAUCGCUAGUAAUCGCGGAUCAGCACGCCGCGGUGAAUACGUUCCCGGGCCUUGUACACACCGCCCGUCACACCACGAAAGUUUGUAACACCCAAAGUCGGUGAGGUAACCUUCGGGAGCCAGCCGCCUAAGGUGGGAUAGAUGAUUGGGGUGAAGUCGUAACAAGGUAACCA
rnacentral:rRNA from 1 species